UUAAAAAUAUUAAUUUAAAAUUUAAGCAAUAAUAAUACAUUCAAACAACAAAAAGUUUUAAAAUAGAGUGUGUGGAGCUUAAUUUGCACUCUUGCCCUGUUCCCUGCAAGUGUUACUAGCACCUUACCUGUAGGCUACGGUCAAAAUUGGGUUUUAUUCUGUGUAUGCUAGACAUUUGUUGGAGGGUUUGGGCAAGAAAUAGAUGACUUGAUGUAUAUUCUUAAAAUGAUUCUCUGGCUGCUGGUGGAGAAUUGAUGAGACUAGUGUGAGAGACUAGUUAAUCGGUUAUUACAGGGUCCAGGCAGGUUGAAGGACCAGGUUAGAGUUGAAUUGCUGAGAAGUCAGGAUCUGUUUUUUGAAGGAGGAGCCAAAAAGAUUGGUGUAUGGAUUUGUGUGGAAUGUAAUAGAGAGAUUUAAGAAUGACUCCAAGUCUGAACAAUAGGCAAGUGAUGAUGCUAUUUAUCUUUUAUCUUUUAGGAUUAUUGUGAGGAUUUAUUUAACUGGAAUGACAUGUAAAAUGCUGAGUAUAGUGCCUAGUACGUAUAAUAGUUGCUCAAUAAAUAGUAGCUGUGAUUGGUUAAUAUCUCCUUAUUUGUUCAUGUCUAGAGCCAAGAUAGAUGCUGACAUUAUACUGUCCCUCCCCCUACAAAGGAGAUUGGCUAAAAAGUCAAAUAAGUUGGUUGUGAAUCUAAUGGAUUGCAAAAGCCAGCGCAGUACUUGAGGAACAUUUCCUUAUGAGAGGAGUGUGCAGAAGCCUUUUGAGGGCAACUAACCUGGGAAAUCAAGAACACCAGGGAGGAUUAAAAACAAAGCAUCGGUGUUUCAGACAGGGUAAUGUGCCCCAACCAGGGCUGCUGGGAGGUAAGGGAAAGUACCUUUAGCCUCUUGCAAUAUCUGGUAAAGUGGUCACUUUAGCUUUGCCCUCUGUGAGCCACGUUGAGAUGGUGGUGCUGUGUCUUAUCUAAGUAAAUAAAUGGCAGGGCUUGUCUGAUCAGAGAUUUAAUUUUAAAUACGAGUAUCCAAACUUCAGAUUUGGUUUUUAAAGCCCAGAGGAUGUGAUUGCAUUCUGGGGACAUAAGAUGGGGCUAAAAACUUUCCAAAGUUCCUAUUCGGUGUGCCUAAACUCACUAGCUAGGAUCACAGCAGGGACCGCAGACGUCACACCUGGAAUCUGGAAUGAGCAUUAUAAAGUUGGCAAGGCUGAAAAGGCAUUAGUAAACAUUAUUAAGAAUUCCUUGCAGGCAAUUAGACUCCAACAAUAUCUUUGGAGAGG
rnacentral:lncRNA from 1 species